GACGAACGCUGGCGGCGUGCUUAACACAUGCAAGUCGAACGGUAAGGCCCUUCGGGGUACACGAGUGGCGAACGGGUGAGUAACACGUGGGUGAUCUGCCCUGCACUUCGGGAUAAGCCUGGGAAACUGGGUCUAAUACCGGAUAGGACCACUGCCUGCAUGGGUGGUGGUGGAAAGCUUUUGCGGUGUGGGAUGGGCCCGCGGCCUAUCAGCUUGUUGGUGGGGUGAUGGCCUACCAAGGCGACGACGGGUAGCCGGCCUGAGAGGUGACCGGCCACACUGGGAUUGAGAUACGGCCCAGACUCCUACGGGAGGCAGGAGUGGGGAAUAUCGCACAAUGGGCGCAAGCCUGAUGCAGCGACGCCGCGUGAGGGAUGACGGCCUUCGGGUUGUAAACCUCUUUCAGCACCGACGAAGCGCAAGUGACGGUAGGUGCAGAAGAAGGACCGGCCAACUACGUGCCAGCAGCCGCCGUAA
rnacentral:rRNA from 1 species